ensembl:lncRNA
UCUGGCGGGGGCGGGGGCGGGGGCGGGGCCCGGGCCCUCUGGGCACUGAGACUGUGCCACCGCUGCCUCCUUCCAGGGUGCAGGGUCUGCACGGAGCUGCUCUGUCUGCCUGUGGGCCACAUGCUGCCACUCAUCCGGGCAAAGGAGCUUCUAGCCCCGUGUCUCCAUCAGUCAACCUGGGGUCUGACCUAGCACUCCACAGGGGCCCCCGCACCCAAGGUGGCAGGGCUUGCCUCUCUGGAGGCGGCCAGGAGCCACACUGCAGAAGCUUGGGCCACAGGGGCUCCCCAAACACCCACCCUCUGCCCCGGGCAGUGCUGGCCAUCAACUUAAGGUGAGGGCUGUGCAUGGCUGGAGGAAGCAGGCUGGACACGGGUCCCUGCUCUGCAGUGUCCUUGGCACACCCCCUACAGGCACCCCAGCUCUUUGACGGGGGUCAGCAGACCCCAGCUCGACGGGGGCCCGCCACGACUGCAGAGGAGGAAAGAGCACAAGUGCGGGGCAGCCUUGGAGGUGGUCUCUGUGCUGGCAGAGAAAGGGUGCCUGGGGGGCUGUGGACAGGGAGGCACGGGUGACCCCAAGCCCAGGGAGCUCCAGCCCUGACCCCACAGGGAGAGCGUCCCCAUGUCCCCAAGGAUAGGAGGAGACCACUGCGUCUACUCUUCCUAUAAACAUUCACUCCUUCCCUGGGGAUCUGCAGGCACUUGCAUCUGAGCCGCCACACCUGCCUAGGGGACAGCCGGACAGUGUGGUGUCACCUGACCGCUGUGUGCCUGCACACCUUCAGCACAAGUGCCAGGGUCUGCCUGAGCGAGCCGAGGCCGACACCCACAGGGCCACUGUCCUGCGAAGGGACCGCCGCCACCUCGCUGCGCCCGCCCAGCGGCCCCGAGCACAGGGCGCCUGGGACACUCCUGCAGCGGGCCUGCCGUCCUCUGGCGGCGCGGGGCUGCCCUUCUGUCUUCACACGUCCACACUGUCGCCAGGCUCUACCCUCCACAGCCCGAGGGGAGGCCUUGAAACCACGCAUUUCGGUACCCUGAUAGAAGACGGGACGGAAACCCAGGAGGGAAGCGAACUCUCAGUCUCUCGAGAGCAGCAAGUUCCUCUGUAAAGGGAAGGCCUGCCCUUCCCUGAGCACACGGUGGCCCGGACACACAGUGCCCGCCCCUCCAGGCCCCUCAGGCGGCUCCCUGCUCCUCUGUGUGCAGAAGUGGGACGUGCAGAGCAAGCGGUGUCCACAGGGCUCGGGGUCACUGCAAUGGAUUUCUGUGUGGGUGGGUUUUUUCCUUAUACAAGCACCGCUUUUUAAGACAAGAAGAAACAGCUUGGGUACGACACAGUUCCAACCAACAUGACAAGGAAACAUUUUUACUGACUGACCUACCUUUUAUAAAGCCUGAGUCAUUUAAUAGGUGGUUCUGUUUCUUCCUGAAAGGUCUCAGUAAUACCUGUUCCUCGUUCUUGGGAAAGUCACUCAAAGUCUUGAGGGAAAACCAAGACUGCACCCAAGAGGGUGCAGGAGCGCCUCUCUGCCCAGGCUGUGCACGGCAGGCCGCGCCGGCAGCCGCUGCCUCAGGGUCUGUCGGCACUGCGGCUGCGUGGAGGCCACGCGCUCUGGGCCUCGCGUGGCGGCUUCACACUGCCGCCCCUCCACCACACGGACCCGCGGGCCCGGGGCUGAGCCUCCUGCCAUGCUGCCUGUCCGCCAGAUGUCCCUGCCGCCCACCCUUACCUCUCCACAGCGAGCCGCAACACACGUCUGCGUUUUAUUUCAUAGGAAGUUGGGAACAGAGUACAAAGAACACAAAACUCAUUCUUGUUUAUGUUUGUAUCACAGCCAAUUGAUUUUAGGAUUUAACCUUAGUAACAACGUUAUCUACUGACUGUUAGGAUUCAAAACCAGUUAAGUGAUAGGAGUUUUCCUAAGUAGUAUUUAUAAAAUAUAAGGUUCCUCAAAGAUUUUCCUCACAGACACAGUUCCAUCAGGGUGACUGUCUCAACCCAGACUCUAGACAACACAUGCUGUGCCUGACUGCUGGGCCCAGGCAGUCCCCAGACAGAAUGGGGACACGGAGACAGUGGCUGCCGCUGCGACACGUCUGUGGAUGAUCCCUGGCGGCAACCAUGCCUACCCCCACCGGCUGUUCAUUCAGGGGGCACGUGCUCAGAGAACGAGCCUGCAUCGCUCUGUGCUGAUGCUAAAAGAGAAUGCUCAUCAGACAGGGCUGCACUCAGACCCCGAGAGCCCGCCCUUGGAAGGCCCAACCCUCGUGGGGGCAGCAGGGGCCCCAGGAAAAGAAGAGCCCGGUCAGCUUGCUGCUCUCUGACAAUUCAAAACUUUUACCAUUUAGUUUGAGGCUCCUUUUUAAAAACAAAAUUUCUGAUCAGGUGUUCGCUAAAACUGAAGUGUUACUUUGUCAAAAUAUUUAUUCCUUUGUGUGACAUGCUAGAUUCCCAUGGAUGUAGCUGAUCAUUUCUACUGUAAAUAUUACCUAACUUUACAUAAACGAUGUCAUAAUAAACUAUUUUUGCAUCACCCUUUG